AACGAACGCUGGCGGCAUGCCUAACACAUGCAAGUCGAACGCCCCGCAAGGGGAGUGGCGAACGGGUGAGUAACGCGUGGAAACCUACCCAGCAGUUGGGGAUAACCGCGGGAAACUGCGGCUAAUACCGAAUACGUCCUUAGGGAGAAAGAUUUAUCGCUGUUGGAGGGGUCCGCGUCGGAUUAGCUAGUUGGUGAGGUAACGGCUCACCAAGGCGACGAUCCGUAGCUGGUCUGAGAGGAUGAUUAGCCACACUGGGACUUAGACACGGCCCAGACUCCUACGGGAGGCAGCAGUGGGGAAUAUUGGACAAUGGGGGCAACCUUGAUCCAGCAAUGCCGCGUGAGUGAUGAAGGCCUUAGGGUUGUAAAGCUCUUUUACCGGGGACGAUGAUGACGGUACCCGGAGAAUAAGCCCCGGCUAACUUCGUGCCAGCAGCCGCGGUAA
rnacentral:rRNA from 1 species